rnacentral:tRNA from 1 species
GCCCAGGUGGCGGAAUUGGUAGACGCGCUAGCUUCAGGUGCUAGUGCCUGUAUGGGCGUGGAGGUUCGAGUCCUCUCCUGGGCACCA